rnacentral:rRNA from 1 species
GACAGAGGGGCCGAGCGUUAGGCGGAAUCACUGGGCUUAAAGCGUGUGUAGGCGGACCGUUAAGUACCUUGUGAAAUCCCCCGGCUCAACCGGGGAACGGCUGGGUAUACUGGCGGUCUUGAGCCAUCCAGGGGCAGUCGGAACAGACGGUGGAGCGGUGAAAUGCGUAGAUAUCGUCUGGAACGCCGAAGGUGAAAACAGACUGCUGGGGAUGCGCUGACGCUGAGACACGAAAGCCAGGGGAGCGAACGGG